GAGCUUACCUGGAAUGGCAAUGCCAGGAGUACAGAUGGCAAUGCCAGGAGGAGUACAGCCAGGCAUGCCAGGAGUAGGACAGAUGCCAAAACCGAAUAAAAAAUAGAGACCCCAAGGCUGGAAUAACGGAAUUGAUGGAAAUAUCUGAAUAUACUGAAACAGCAUUCUUCGUCUCUACAACAGGAACAAGAUUGUCUACUCAGUGCUUGGUGGUGGUGGUGGUGGCGUCUAGUAGAUACAAUACAUGACUUGAUUUUAAUGGUUUUCUGUAGCAGAAUAGUUUUCUGUCCUUGGUGUGGGAAAAACUUUGUGAAAUAAAA